AUUUGAUGACGUGGACAUUGAAUUUGUAACUCCCCAAAUCUUUGCCAAGCUUCGAAGAAUUCCUCCGUAUGCUUUUGUCUAAAAGUUUGGAUCUUGUUUCUUAACU
rnacentral:snoRNA from 1 species